UGAGAAAGGCUGUUAGGGGCACUUGGAAUUUCAUCCUGCAACCGGCAAUGCUGGCACAGGACGUGCCAGCAAGGUGCAAUCUGAACAUGGAUGUGAAUUUGCACCGGUUGCCGGAUGAAACAAUAUCUUUUCUGAAAUUCAUAGUGCCCCUUGCAGGUUUUCUGC
rfam:Roseburia sp. CAG:45 genomic scaffold, scf67